rnacentral:rRNA from 1 species
GAUGAACGCUGGCGGCGUGCCUAAUACAUGCAAGUCGAGCGAACAGACGAGGAGCUUGCUCCUCUGACGUUAGCGGCGGACGGGUGAGUAACACGUGGAUAACCUACCUAUAAGACUGGGAUAACUUCGGGAAACCGGAGCUAAUACCGGAUAAUAUAUUGAACCGCAUGGUUCAAUAGUGAAAGACGGUUUUGCUGUCACUUAUAGAUGGAUCCGCGCCGCAUUAGCUAGUUGGUAAGGUAACGGCUUACCAAGGCAACGAUGCGUAGCCGACCUGAGAGGGGGACCGCCCACACUGAGACGGAGACGCGGUCCACCCUCCAAGGGGAGACAGCGUGAGGGAUGCUUCGAAAAGGGGAGAAGCCCAGACGGAACAACGCGUGGGGAGGAAAGAAGGUCUUCGGAUCGAAAAACUUUGUUAUGGGGGAAAAAAAAGUGUGAAAGAAAAUGUGCAGGUCUUGACGUUACCUAAUAGGAAGCCCGGGGCAAGCCCGGUC